UAAUUAGUCUACUCUGUAAUAUAUCCCACAUACUUAAAUAUCUAAAUGUUCUAUUCUCAUUUGUCUGUAAGAAAACAUUUUUCUGUAGACCAAAUAAAUAAAAGUCAGCUGGUUUGCCUUAUUCUUCCUGUUUUUGCAAGGGAUGGCUAAUUUCUCUUCGUUAACUUGUUUGGUUUUCCUCUCAUUUUGGAGAGGAUUUUCGCUUGCCCUCUUGAUUUGGAUUUUUGGCUACUGAUGGCUAAUUUGGUACUAAUACAAAUU